rnacentral:misc_RNA from 1 species
GCACUGGCCGUGCCGGUAGCAGUCGCCGUUGCCGAGCCUUACCUCCGGCAGCGUUCCGUCGGGCACGUGCGCGUCCUGGUACAGCGUGACCUUCCCGCCCCGGCGCAGCGGGAAGUAGGUCCUGGGCACGCCGGCGAAGUCCGGGCCCGGGGUGACGCCGUGGUGGUACAUGGUGAGCCUCGCCACGGGCACGUACUGCACGGACAGCCGGAGCACGGCCCCCGGCGCGCACUCCUUGCCGUUGCGCUCCAGGACCGGGUACGCGCCCUCGACCAUGUCCCCGGCCUGCAGCUGGUCGGCGCGGACGGCGACGACGCCGAUGAGCUCCGCGCCCACGACGUCGCUGUCCUUGACGACGAAGUUGACGGUGGCGGCCUCGUGCGCGACGGGCACCAGGAACUGCUGCGCCCACACGGGGUUCUCGUCGUCGGGGAUGACGAAGGUGCGCGCCACCACCGCGGAGGCGACCUGCACCGUCACGUACGGGUCGCUGGUCAUGCCCUCCGACGGCUUGCACAGCAGGUCCCGCAUCCUCUUGGACAGGAUGUCCUUGUUGGGAAGGUUCCUCGCCUCGUGGAUCCAGAUGUCCAGGCUGCCGUGCAGCAGCACCGCCGGCGCGUCCCCGGCGGAGCCAUGCACCAACCAAGAGACGCUCUCGUCGUCGUCCUGCACGGGCAUCGUCUGCCUCGAUCCGAUGGCACGGGGUUCCGCGGCCUCGUCUCACUGACUCCUCUUCCCCCUCCCGCGCAUGGUGGUGCAUGCAUCCUCUCUUUGUCGUGUCGUGUGUACCCGGUUCGUCGCCCCGCGGAUCGGCCGCUUCCGCUCCCUGAAUUGCUUGCUGUACCGGGAUAUAUGGGCUCUCAAGGCCCAACGUGCUUUGCAAAC